rnacentral:lncRNA from 1 species
GUGCCUUCUCAUUCGAGGAACACCCGCUUGUCAGUCGUUUGCCAAACGUUGACGAAAGAGGUUGUGUAUCGCACGAUUUUUUCAUUGUCAAUUACAUCUUUUUUAGAAACAAACAUGUCUGCAAAAUAUUUUUGCUAUGCCGCUCCAAAUCUUUACUUUGCUGUCAGCAGAAACAAUAAAAGCGAAUAGUGCAGAACAUGGUGAAAUUACAAAUAGGUGAAGUCAUCAGCUGAGUGCUCCUCAUUCGAGGAAUACCAGCUUGUCAGUCGUUUGUCAAACGUUGACGAAAGAGGUUGCGUAGCUCACGAUUUUUUCAUGGUCUUUUCUUCCUUUUCUUCAUUGUUUACGAAUGAAGACGUAAGCGGAAGACAAUGAAAUAUGCAUGCAACAACUAUUUUAUUUGUGUAUGUUUUCUUUUUAUUUUUAGAAAUAAACAUGUCUGCAGCAUAUUGUAAAACGUUUGCUAUCUCUCUCUAGCGCUUCGUUUAAACUCAAAGGGCAUAUCUAUUGGGAUCAUCGGAAUCCUUGGAAUAAUAACUUCCUCAUCUUUAAAUUAUCCUUUAAGUAUCGACGCGUGAAUCACAUUGCUCAUCAGUUUUCUUAUCACCAAACGCGUUCCAUUGCACUGCUUUGGUUGGUUUAAAUUUCUAAGCAUGAUGACUACCGAGCCAACUUUAAUUUUUAAAUUGUGAGGUGGUAAACCAGGCACAUCCAAGGAGUUUAAAAAUUCAGUUGGAUAAUUAGUGGCUUCUUCUUCGUUUGUAGCACAGUCGAUAGAUUUGAAUGAAUAUAGAGUAUCCACGAUUUGAUUUAGAAUUAUAAGAUUGAGGUCAUCUACAUCUUUAUUUUUAGAGGCCAAAAUUGCUCGCUCACUUAACCAUUUAGUAUUUUUGUGGUUAGCAAUGAUAUCCGGGAAUAUGUUGUUGAUAAGCUCGUCUUUUGAUGAUACGAAAUUGCAAAAAUUUGGAGGAAAUGAAAUCAAACCGCUCGAUUUGUCUGCAGGAACACGGCCAUUACCGAUAGUCUGCAAUUGCUUCGAGAAAUCAUCAGCAGAUAGAUCGUUCAACAAUGCAACUCUCAUAUUUACAGACAGUUGAAGUUUCUUUACAUAUAGCCACAGAUUUGAUGCUUUGAGGCAAGCGUUUAUUUUAUCUGCAGCAGUAGAUCUUGGAAUGACUGGUAGUAUUUGUCGGAAAUCGCCAGAUAAUAAAAUCAUUGCACCACCAAAACACUUUGAGUCAUUGCGCAGAUAUUUUAAUGUUCGGUCUAGUGCU